AUUGAACGCUGGCGGCAUGCUUUACACAUGCAAGUCGAACGGUAACAGGCCUUCGGGUUCUGACGAUUGGCGUACGGGUGUGUAAUGCAUCGGAACGUCCCCAGAGGUGGGGGCUACCGCAGCGAAAGCUAUGCUAAUACCGCAUGUGAUCUGAGGGUGAAAGCGGGGGACCAGGCAGCAAUGUUUGGCAUCGCGCUUUUGUAGCGGCCGAUGUCAGAUUAGGUAGUUGGUGGGGUGAUGGCCUACCAAGCCGACGAUCUGUAGCUGGUCUGAGAGGCCGACCAGCCACACUGGGACUGAGACACGGCCAAGGCUCCUACGGGAGGCAGCAGUGGGGGAUGUUGGACAAGGGGCGCAAGCCUGAGCCAGCAAUGCCGCGUGCGGGAAGAAGGCCUUCGGGUUGUAAACGGCUUCUGCACGGAACGAAAAGGAUCUGGCUAAUACCUGGGGGUGAUGACGGUACCGGAAGAAUAAGCACCGGCUAACUACGUG
rnacentral:rRNA from 1 species